rnacentral:rRNA from 1 species
UGGGGAAUAUUGGACAAUGGGCGCAAGCCUGAUCCAGCCAUGCCGCGUGAGUGAUGAAGGCCCUAGGGUUGUAAAGCUCUUUCACCGGUGAAGAUAAUGACGGUAACCGGAGAAGAAGCUCCGGCUAACUUCGUGCCAGCAGCCGCGGUAAUACGAAGGGGGCUAGCGUUGUUCGGAUUUACUGGGCGUAAAGCGCACGUAGGCGGACUUUUAAGUCAGGGGUGAAAUCCCGGGGCUCAACCCCGGAACUGCCUUUGAUACUGGUAGUCUUGAGUUCGAGAGGGGUUAGUGGAAUUCCUAGUGUGGAGGUGAAAUUCGUAGAUAUUCGGAGAAACACCAGUGGCGAAGGCAGCUCACUGGCUCAAUACUGACGCUGAGGUGCGAAAGCGGGGGGAGCAAACAGG